UGAUUCGAUGUACCGUUUUUCUGUGUGGGCGGUUGUUGUUUUUCUACCGGGGGCUGUCGUUCCGUGCGGGGAAUGAGAAGAGUAUCCUACCGAUGCGGACUUUGGGGGAGAAGUAUCGUUAACGGAACGGUACCGGGUGGCAAUGGCGGCCAGUCUGCCGGAGAGAGAGAGAGAGAGAGUGAUGAUGGAGACUUCUACCGGAGAGCAGCUGAUCGGUUCUAGAUGCUCUACUAACCUGAGUGGUGCCGUGGCCUUGUGCCUCGCAGUUAGACAAUGAACCGAUUCCCCCGAUCUGCCAGAUGACCGCGACCGCUCUCUCUGACACUACCAGACCGCUGCAGUCGACUGGGCCGCUGACCGUGUUGCCUGACUGGACCGCUGACCGUGUUGCCUGACCGGGGUUGUGUUGGGGUGAUGGAGUACCAUAGUAGUGGUAGCCUGCCCCUGCUGGGCCGACCCAGGUACUGUCCUGGGGCCAGCUCCAACGGAGGUUACCUCUGUGAGACAGGACACUGCUGUGGGGAGACAGGCUGCUGCACCUAUUACUAUGAACUCUGGUGGUUCUGGCUGCUGUGGACCGUUCUGAUCCUGUUCAGUUGUUGCUGUGCUUAUCGACACCGCCGGGCUAAACUCAGAGUCCAACAGCAGCAGAGACAGGUAG